AAAAUCUUAAGUUAAUUGAGACUGUAGUAUUUCAAAUAUUAAAGUAAAUAAAUUUUUAGGUUUUG
rnacentral:tRNA from 1 species